rnacentral:rRNA from 1 species
UACGAAGGGGGCUAGCGUUGCUCGGAAUUACUGGGCGUAAAGGGUUCGUAGGUGGCCAACUAAGUCAGACGUGAAAUCCCUCAGCUUAACUGGGGAACUGCGUCUGAUACUGGUUGGCUUGAGUGCAGGAGAGGAACGCGGAAUUCCAGGUGUAGCGGUGAAAUGCGUAGAUAUCUGGAGGAACACCGGUGGCGAAGGCGGCGUUCUGGACUGCAACUGACACUGAUGAACGAAAGCCAGGGGAGCAAACGGG